GAGGUUGUGGCUCAUUGGAACGGUGCAUGCCUAGCAUGUGUGAGGCACUGGGUUCAAUCCCCAGCACCACA
rnacentral:tRNA from 1 species